CAAUUAUUGUUAUUUUAACCAUCAAUAUGGUGGCAUUGGAACAGACAGAUCAUGAUGGACUUUUCAUAUACAGGGAAGAGAGAAAGUUGAUGAUGAAAAUGAUGGAGUUACUAAUGACAGCAAAAUAACAGAUGAGGAGUUUAACGAGAGCUUUGCUGAUAAACAUUGAAUUAUGAAAUGAACAUCAAAAAGUGUUGAUAGAAAAUAUGUGUUUCAUUUACCA